GAUGAAGAACGUAGCGAAAUGCGAUAAGUAAUGCGAAUUGCAGAAUCCGUGAGUCAUCGAAUCUUUGAACGCACAUUGCGCCCUUUGGUAUUCCGAAGGGCAUGCCUGUUCGAGCGUCAUUAUCACCCCUCAAGCCCCGGCUUGGUGUUGGGCUCUCGGUGGUCGUCUCCGACCACCCGUCUCAAAGAUAGUGACGGCGUCCCAGAGGGAACCGGUACGAGGAGCUUUCACGAGCAUGUACGCGGGACGACUCUGCGGGCGACGGUCUUAUUUACUUUAUAUACAAGUGUUGACCUCGGAUCAGGUAGGAAUACCCGCUGAACUUAAGCAUAUCAAUAAGCGGAGG
rnacentral:misc_RNA from 1 species